GACGCGACUUACAUAAGACGCGACUUAAGUAAGACGCGAGUUUGUCGUAUAAAAGGUACAAAAUUCUUAUGUAAGACGCGUCUUGGAUAAGACGCGUCUUACAUAAGAACAGGUCUUUUAGCUGUUCUUAUUUAAGUCGCGUCUUAAAUAAGAAAUUUUAGACAAAAAGUCUAACUACACAUGGCAGAAACUUGAAACAACGUAAAAUUUAAUGCCUUGCAUAUUAAAACAAAAACAACCAAUACAACAACAUAGCUAUAGCAAAUAAAUAAGACCAAAGCCGUAGAGAACCAUUUAUGCGAUAACUCCACUUAUUUAAGUCGCGUCUUAUGUAAGUCGCGACUUAUUUUGUCACGUAUAAAUGGCC